rnacentral:rRNA from 1 species
UGGGGAAUAUUGGGCAAUGGGCGAAAGCCUGACCCAGCCACGCCGCGUGAGUGAUGAAGGCCUUCGGGUCGUAAAGCUCUGUGGGGAGGGACGAACAAACUGGGUGCUAAUCAACCCGGUCCUGACGGUACCUCCUUAGCAAGCACCGGCUAACCCUGUGCCAGCAGCCGCGGUAAUACAGGGGGUGCAAACGUUGCUCGGAAUUAUUGGGCGUAAAGCGCGCGUAGGCGGCUACUUAAGUCGGAUGUGAAAGCCCCUGGCUCAACCGGGGAAGUGCACCCGAAACUGAGUAGCUUGAGUGCAAAAGAGGGCUGCGGAAUUCCCGGUGUAGAGGUGAAAUUCGUAGAUAUCGGGAGGAACACCGGUGGCGAAGGCGGCAGCCUGGGUUGACACUGACGCUGAGGCGCGAAAGCGUGGGGAGCAAACAGG